rnacentral:rRNA from 1 species
CCUACGGGCGGCUGCAGUGAGGAAUAUUGGUCAAUGGGCGAGAGCCUGAACCAGCCAAGUCGCGUGAGGGAGUACUGCCCUAUGGGUUGUAAACCUCUUUUGUCGGGGAGCAAAAGCCGGACGUGUCCGGCUGUGAGAGUACCCGAAGAAAAAGCAUCGGCUAACUCCGUGCCAGCAGCCGCGGUAAUACGGAGGAUGCGAGCGUUAUCCGGAUUUAUUGGGUUUAAAGGGUGCGCAGGCGGAUUUUUAAGUCUGCGGUAAAAUCGUGGGGCUCAACCCCAUCCAGCCGUUGAAACUGGGGAUCUAGAGUGUGCGAGAGGUAUGCGGAAUGCGUGGUGUAGCGGUGAAAUGCAUAGAUAUCACGCAGAACCCCGAUUGCGAAGGCAGCAUACCGGUGCACAACUGACGCUCAGGCACGAAAGCGUGGGUAUCGAACAGGAUUAGAUACCCUUGUAGUC